AGUAGUUUGAGCAACAUUUGAGUUAAUUUCAGAAAAGACGCGAGGAAGAAGACGAAUUUAUUUUUUUAUGUAAUUAUGUAUAAUAUUUUAUAAUAGUUUAUAUAAACACAUCUUAUACACUAUUAUAUACUUUUAUACACCUUUAUACUAACGUCUAUAGACGAACUUAUUCCACGAUUUUCAGUUACAAUUCUUAUUCAAAACCAAUCGCAAUCUCCAUUAAAUGACUUCAAAUUUCAUAUACAACCUACUUACACUAUUUCUAACAAGUCUAAAUAAUGUCAACUCCAGAUUUUCACGAAAUCAAAUUCGAAAUUUAAACCUACAUAUUUAAACUUGUUAAAAAGCUAAUUUUCACCAUCCAAAUGGACUUGGUUUAUUGAACUAAUAUUUGAGUCAUAGUUACUGUCACACCUGAUCUUUACUUGCGCUCGCAGAGGCGUAGGGGAGUUAUUCCAAUUAAAGGACAAUCGAAACGAGAUUUGUUUAUUUAAUUCAGAGUCGCCACUUGGGAGAUUUAUGGUGUCCCACGUCACCGAUUUUAAUCCCGAAUCGAAGAAAAGAAUGACUAUGUUUAACAGUCUGCGAAUCAGAAAUCCGGAUAAGGAAUUCUCUUAAUCCGGGAGAAGGUGUUUGGCAUUCCCGAGUUCCGUGGUUCUAGCACGGUCACUCAACUGUCAUAUUUGGCUUAAUUAUCUGAUUUUAAGUUAGGCAUUCCCGAGUUCCGUGGUUCUAGCACGGUCACUCAACUGUCAUAUUCGGCUUAAUUAUCUGAUUUUAUUUAAUUGUGAACUUAUGUACAAAUUUUCACUUUUAACCGUUUUUAUUAUUAUUAUUGUUGUUAUUUUUACAAAGAAUUGUAACGUUGUGAAAACGCAUCUCGAACCACGUCACAACUAGUGUACACGUGAUUUGUCGACGUACUUUGACUUCGUUGGGAUUUGGGUUUUGGUCACAUAAAUGUACACCCGUGUUUAGGGAGGAAAUAUUAUUAAAAUACGCACCUAAAGAGUCUAGCGCGUUAUUAUUUUU
rnacentral:lncRNA from 1 species